rnacentral:rRNA from 1 species
UACGUAGGUCCCGAGCGUUGUCCGGAUUUAUUGGGCGUAAAGCGAGCGCAGGUGGUUUAUUAAGUCUGGUGUAAAAGGCAGUGGCUCAACCAUUGUAUGCAUUGGAAACUGGUAGACUUGAGUGCAGGAGAGGAGAGUGGAAUUCCAUGUGUAGCGGUGAAAUGCGUAGAUAUUAGGAAGAACACCAGUGGCGAAGGCGGCUUUCUGGACUGAAACUGACGCUGAGGCACGAAAGCGUGGGGAGCGAACAGG